AUGCACAAGCUCGUAUCCGUCGCUUUCCUAGUCUUCGUCUCAUGGUCGACGCUGGCGGUCUCUUCCCCGUCCGGCAUCCCUUGCUACCAAUCCAUCUUCAGCUUCGGCGACUCCUUCGCUGACAUGGGCAAUAACCCUGUCGUCUUCAAAUGGUACUCCAUCUUCGACCCCGUCACGCGUCCUCCCUAUGGCACCAGCUUUUUUGGCCGGCAUACUGGUCGCAACGGAGACGGGCGGCUCAUCAUCGACUUCAUUGCUGAGAACUUGGGCCUACCAUAUGUCCCGCCCAACCUGGCGCACAACGGUAGCUUCCGGCGAGGCGCCAACUUCGCCGUUGGUGCCGCAACCGCAGUCGAUGCUGGUUUCUUCCACAAGAGGGGUAUCCCCAGUGCCACCAGCAAGUUCCUACUGAACACCAGCUUAGGCGUGCAGCUGGAGUGGUUUGAGUCCAUGAAGCCUUCCUUAUGUCGCACAGCCCAAGAGUGUAAGAAAUUGUUUGGCAGAUCCCUCUUCUUCGUGGGCGAGUUCGGAGUCAACGACUAUCACAUGUCGUUCCAACAGAGAACGGUACAGGAGGUCAGGUCCUUCGUUCCUGAUGUCGUUGCGACCAUCUCCAAGGCCAUUGAGAGGCUCAUCACCAUGCAUGGCGCCAGGAGCCUGGUUGUCCCUGGCGUGAUUCCGUCGGGAUGCUCGCCGCCGAUCCUGACCAGGUUCGCCGCCUCACCACCAUCAGCAUACGACUCCAGGACCGGUUGUCUGAAAGCAUAUAACGAGCUGGGGUUGCACCACAACUCGCUGCUGCAGGCUGAGCUAGCCAAGCUUCAGGCCAAGCACCGGAAUGCCAGGAUCAUCUACGCCGAUUUCUUUGGCCCAAUCAUGGACAUGGUGGAGUCGCCUCACAAGUUUGGUUUUGAACAAGACGUGCUUAUGGUGUGCUGUGGAGGGGCUGGACAAUACAGAUUAAAUUCAACGGUUCCAUGCGGCGAUGCUGCUGCAACAACGUGUCCGGAUCCAUCAGCUCGUUUGUACUGGGACGGUGUCCAUUUGACGGAGGCAGCUAAUCGCCACAUCGCCAAUAUCUGGCUGGGCAGCAUAACCUCGGCAACAAGCGUCAGCAGCAGCAAGUGUGCAAAAGGGCCAUAUCGACCUACCGGGUGA
rnacentral:rRNA from 1 species